rnacentral:rRNA from 1 species
AAGUCGUAACAAGGUUUCCGUAAGUCUAGUCUCUACCCCUUUUCGAACCGAAUUGUCACUAACAACCACAUAGGUAGGUGAACCUGCGGAAGGAUCAUUACCGAGAUAGGGUCCCCUGGGCCCGAACCUCCCACCCAUUGUUUACUUACCUUUGUUGCUUUGGCGGGCCGCGGAGCGUCAGCCCCCCGUCAACUUCGGUGGACGAGUGCCCGUCAGAAGCCCCAUCAAACUCUGUCAAUUAAUGAAGUCCGAGUCUUAAUAAAUAAGCAAAACUUUCAACAACGGAUCUCUUGGUUCUGGCAUCGAUGAAGAACGCAGCGAAAUGCGAUAAGUAAUGUGAAUUGCAGAAUUCAGUGAAUCAUCGAAUCUUUGAACGCACAUUGCGCCCUCUGGUAUUCCGGGGGGCAUGCCUGUUCGAGCGUCAUUACAUCUCUCGAGCCCAGCUCGGUAUUGAGGGUCGCCCCCCGGGCGCCCUCGAAAUUUAGCGGUGACUUGGUUGGUCCUCGAGCGAGUAAAACUUACGUUCCGCUUCAGAAGAUCAGACUUAGUCUGCCGGACAAACUAAAAAUCUACGAUUGACCUCGGAUCAGGUAGGGAUACCCGCUGAACUUAAGCAUAUCAAUAAGCGGAGGAAUAGAAACCAACAGGGAUUGCCUCAGUAACGGCGAGUGAAGCGGCAACAGCUCAAAUUUGAAAUCUGACCGUCAGGUCCGAGUUGUAAUUUGCAGAGGAUGCUUCGGGGACGAUUCCGGUCUAAAUUCCUUGGAACAGGAUGUCAUAGAGGGUGAGAAUCCCGUCUGCGACCGGCCUUCAACCCCAUGUGAAGCUCCUUCGACGAGUCGAGUUGUUUGGGAAUGCAGCUCUAAAUGGGUGGUAAAUUUCAUCUAAAGCUAAAUAUUGGCCAGAGACCGAUAGCGCACAAGUAGAGUGAUCGAAAGAUGAAAAGCACUUUGGAAAGAGAGUCAAACAGCACGUGAAAUUGUUGAAAGGGAAGCGCUUGCAACCAGACUUGCCCGCGGGUGAUCAACCGUCCUUCGGGGCGGUGCACUGACCCGCAGUCAGGCCAGCAUCGGUUUUGGCGGCCAGAUAAAUGGUUUGGGAACGUAGCUCCCCUCGGGGAGUGUUAUAGCCCAUUCCGUCAUGUGGUCAGCUGGGACCGAGGUCCGCGCUUCGGCUAGGAUGUUGGCGUAAUGGUUGUCAGCGACC